rnacentral:lncRNA from 1 species
GUUGUUAGACAACAAAAAGCUGUCUGAGGGUUGAUCAGUAGCAAUAAGUAAAAGCCAGUCUUUCCCAUAAUGGCUUACAGAUGAGGAACCCUUAUCAUCAGAUGUUUGGUGGAUACCUCGACCCUAUACUGUUCACUCUACAACGGAAGCACUCACUUCUCACAGAGUCUACAUACAAGACAUUCUUAGAAGAGGGAAGCGUCAGGCUCUUACAAGUGAAAGGACCUCAAGUUAGGUCAAACUGGCAGGGAGUGGAGGAGGGAGGAGGAUGGGGGAGUGCACAGAACGUUAACUUAAGGACACACGUGGGUGAGUAUAGCUUAAUGGGCAUAGACUGUGAGUCAGACCUGUAUUCGGGUCCUGGCAUCAUCAGAACAUAUGUUACUUAACCAUCAUGAGCCUAGUUUCCUUAUCUGUAAAAUAGAAUGAUAUCUGUGUCUCAGAGGUGUUAAGGCUCAGAGGGAAAGGAAGCCAAUGUGAGAAUCUUAGCACAGAGGCUGACACACCAAAGGCGUCAGUACAGCAACUACCAAGAAAGGUGUACAGGACCAACCAGAAAUGGAGGGUUAAACCUGUGCUGUUCUAUGGAAGCACAUGAUUGAUGUCUCAGCUUUUUGCCUGCCAUCUUUUGCUUCCAUUUAACCUGUUCGCAUAUUCUAUCUUUUCUGUACCUUUUGGCUCCCAUAAGUUUCUGUGUACCGUGACACCAUGUGACUCUGAUUCUUUUUUCCCUUCAGAUUCUGAAGUGUGGGAUCUGACUCCGCUCCUCUUCCCAUACCAGGCCAUGCAAGUUUCCAGCCAACCCUUGGAUUGGCUGCCCUUGAUUACAUGCUCAUCUAGAUUCUGUCAGCUGUACUCAAGAGGAAAGGUCCUGUGUUCCCAACACCAGAGUCUGUGGGCCUGGUAGAUUUACUUGGGAAUGGCAAAUGGUGGCACAGUCCUGCACUCCUAGUACUACUAGGAUAGGGAAGUUACUAGGGGUAAGACCACCUGGGUAGGGGUGAGAAACUGGAGUCUGGUCCUAGCUAAACACUGUCUACCUACUUGAUAAAGAGCAAGCCCUUAAUUUGUGCAGAUCUCACUUUCCUAAUUCAGUCAGAACACAAUGGUAAUAUAAACUCCCUUCCAAGUCCAAGACCACAGAAUUUUUCACAUGGGUCCUGUUUUCCUUGUCUGGUUUCUCCUUGCAUUCUGCCCUAUUGAGAGAUUGCUUUGACACAGCAGAACAAACACCUCCGAGAGGUAUGCGUUCUUAGAAUCUCAUUCUAACCAUAUAAUUACUCCAAAGCCAUACAAACUGACAAAGUUCUAGCAAAACUAUAAAAUUUUAAAUAUGCAGUAUGCAUUUGAUUGCAUUUUUUUUAAACCUAGGAAAAUAAAAAGACAUACCAAAACAGUAAUGAUGGUUUUAGGGUACUCAGGUCAUUCAGUGUGGUUAUUUUUCCCUCCAAGUGUUUAUAAUGUAAAAUAUUUUUAUAUAGCAUUUAUAAUGCUUUUAUAAGAAUAAGAAUUAUUGGAAUGGAAAAGUUCUUGGAAAGGAAGUCAGGAGGCCAGAGUUUUAAUCUUGCCCUGGUUUUCUCAUUCCUAGUAUGAGGCUAAUACCCACUUUACCAACUUUACAUAGAUGUUGGAUACUCAGACAAGGGAAGGUCUUUAGAAGUGCUUUGAAACAUUUCAGGCCUAAGAAAGUGUUGACAUAGUAGAUGCAGAAUUACUUGUUGACUAGUUAAACAAUUUCCUGGAUGUUGUUGGUGCUUCUUUUCAUUCAAGACUGGGCGGUAGUCAUUUCUUCGCUUGCGGUCGGCUUGCCUGUGCUGGGGAGAAGCUAGCCUGAGAUUGCAUUUGGGGAGCAGUGGGACAACAGUAUGUGUGAGCAUAGGUAGAAGACAAAGUUUGCUGCAGAAAGUGUUGGGUCGACCUAUUUAAUGCGUUGACUUCUACCAGCAAUUUAUACAGGAUAACCAGUUUUAUGUACAUGAGGAAUUAUAACAGGAAGGCAAGUACAUUACUGGAGAUAUUGGGUUCAGCAACCAGAAAAUAGGAAAGAAAAAAUAUAUGUCAGUUCUUGGCUUUGAAUUAAAGUUUUAAAAAAUUGUGUAGGAAAAACAGAAUCUGCAAGCCAACCUCACUGAGUAAACACCAGGGAACAAUAAUUAAAUCAAUCCUGUAUUUAUUAGCCACUAAAUAAUAAUUCAGGACAUUCAUUUCCACGUGGUGAUUCUGUGAGCUGAGACAAGCACAUGUAGAAGGAGACUAUUACACUGGUUUCUUCUUGGCUGGACAUUAGAAUAACUUCGGGUACUUGAAAGAAAUAUUUAUGCCAGGCAUAAAUGGCAUGAUCUAAUUUGCGGGGUGGAGCCUGGGUGCUUUGUUUGUUUGUUUGUUUGUUUUGCUUUGUUUUUUAAAGUUUCCCCAUGUACCUGCAAGUUUAGAAGAUCAGAGAAUGAGGGAUCCCUGGGUGGCUCAGUGGUUUAGCGUCAGCCUUUGGCCCAGGGAGUGAUCCCAGAGUCCCAGGAUCGAGUCCCACAUGGGGCUCCUUGCAUGGAGCCUGCUUCUGUCUCUGCUUCUCUCUCUCUGUCUCUCAUAAAUAAAUCUUUAUAAAAAAAAAAAA